rnacentral:tRNA from 1 species
GGCGCGAUGGCCGAGUGGUUAAGGCGUUGGACUUAAGUUGCAAUGGACGUAAGUCCUCGUGGGUUCGAACCCCAAUCGCGCCA